GGACGGUUAGCACAGCGGUAGUGCGUUCCCUUCACACGGGAGAGGUCGCAGGUUCAAUCCCUGCACCGUCCACCA
rnacentral:tRNA from 1 species